CGCGCAGGCGGACAAUUAAGUCAGAUGUGAAAUCUCGGGGCUCAACCCCGAAACUGCGUCUGAAACUGGUUGUCUAGAAUCUCGGAGAGGGAAGGGGAAUUUCGCAUGUAGGGGUAAAAUCCGUAGAGAUGCGAAGGAACACCAGAGGCGAAGGCGCCUUCCUGGACGAGUAUUGACGCUGAGGCGCGAAAGCGUGGGUAGCGAACAGGAUUAGAUACCCUGGUAGUCC
rnacentral:rRNA from 1 species